UACGAAGGGGGCUAGCGUUGUUCGGAAUCACUGGGCGUAAAGCGCACGUAGGCGGAUCUUUAAGUCAGAGGUGAAAUCCCAAGGCUCAACCUUGGAACUGCCUUUGAUACUGGGGAUCUUGAGUCCGGGAGAGGUGAGUGGAACUGCGAGUGUAGAGGUGAAAUUCGUAGAUAUUCGCAAGAACACCAGUGGCGAAGGCGGCUCACUGGCCCGGUACUGACGCUGAGGCUCGGAAAGCGUGGGUAGCAAACAGGG
rnacentral:rRNA from 1 species